ACCUACGGGGGGCAGCAGUGAGGAAUAUUGGUCAAUGGUCGGGAGACUGAACCAGCCAAGCCGCGUGAGGGAUGAAGGUACAGAGUAUCGUAAACCUCUUUUGUCAGGGAACAAAGGCGGGGACGCGUCCCCGGAUGAGUGUACCUGAAGAAAAAGCAUCGGCUAACUCCGUGCCAGCAGCCGCGGUAAUACGGAGGAUGCGAGCGUUAUCCGGAUUUAUUGGGUCUAAAGGGUGCGCAGGCGGUCUGUUAAGUCAGCGGUCAAAGCCCGGGGCUCAACCCCGGCCCGCCGUUGAAACUGGCAGG
rnacentral:rRNA from 1 species